rnacentral:rRNA from 1 species
GAUGAACGCUGGCGGCGUGCCUAGUACAUGCAAGUCGAACGGGGAGUAGCAAUACUCUUAGUGGCGAACGGGUGAGUAACGCGUUGGUACCUGCCCCGAAGCGGGGGAUAACGGACCGAAAGGUCCGCUAAUACCCCAUGUGCUCGGUAACGAGUAAAGGUGAAAACCACUUUGGGAGGGGCAUGCGUCCCAUCAGCUAGUUGGUAAGGUAACGGCUUACCAAGGCGAUGACGGGUAGGGGACCUGAGAGGGUGGCCCCCCACAAUGGAACUGAAACACGGUCCAUACACCUACGGGUGGCAGCAGUAGGGAAUAUUGGUAAUGGGCGCAAGCCUGAACCAGCAACGCCGCGUGUGCGAUGACGGCCUUCGGGUUGUAAAGCACUUUUGACUGGGACGAGGAAGGACGGUACCGGUCGAAUCAGCCUCGGCUAACUACGUG